GGUCCUGUGGUGCAGUUUGGAGUGCACGCUGGCCUGUCAAGCCAGAGGUCGCGGGUUCAAAUCCCGUCAGGACCGCCA
rnacentral:tRNA from 2 species